GGGCCCGCACAAGCGGUGGAGCAUGUGGUUUAAUUCGAUGAUACGCGAGGAACCUUACCAGGGCUUAAAUGGGAAAUGACAGGGGCAGAGACGCCCUUUUCUUCGGACAUCUUUCAAGGUGCUGCAUGGUUGUCGUCAGCUCGUGCCGUGAGGUGUCAGGUUAAGUCCUAUAACGAGCGCAACCCCUGUUGUUAGUUGCCAUCGAGUAAUGUCGGGAACUCUAACAAGACUGCCGGUGCAAACCGUGAGGAAGGUGGGGAUGACGUCAAAUCAUCACGGCCCUUACGUCCUGGGCUACACACGUGCUACAAUGGCCGGUACAGAGAGCAGCCACUACGCGAGUAGGAGCGAAUCUAUAAAACCUAUCUCAGUUCGGAUCGGAGUCUGCAACUCGACUCCGUG
rnacentral:rRNA from 1 species